GGAAUUUUGCGCAAUGGGCGAAAGCCUGACGCAGCAACGCCGCGUGAUCGUAGACGGCCUUCGGGUUGUAAAGAUCUGUCAGUAGGGACGAACAAUGACUGUACCUACAGAGGAAGCACCGGCUAACUCCGUGCCAGCAGCCGCGGUAAUACGGGGGGUGCGAGCGUUGUCCGGAAUCAUUGGGCGUAAAGAGUUCGUAGGUGGUUUGUUAAGUUUGGUGUUAAAGGCGCAGGCUCAACUUGUGUAUGGCAUCGGAUACUGGCAGACUGGAAUGCGGUAGAGGUAAAGGGAAUUUCUGGUGUAGCGGUGAAAUGCUUAGAUAUCAGGAAGAACAUCGGUGGCGUAAGCGCUUUACUGGGCCGUAAUUGACACUGAGGAACGAAAGCCGGGGAAGCAAAUG
rnacentral:rRNA from 1 species